rnacentral:rRNA from 1 species
CCUACGGGUGGCAGCAGUGGGGAAUAUUGCACAAUGGGCGAAACCCUGAUGCAGCGACGCCGCGUGAAUGAGGAAGUCUUUCGGUAUGUAAAGCUCUAUCAGCGGGGAAGAAAGUGACGGUACCUGACUCAGAAGCCCCUGAUAACUACGUGCCAGCAGCCGCGGUAAUACGUAGGGGGCAAGCGUUAUCCGGAUUUACUGGGCGUAAAGGGAGCGUAGACGGCUGAUCAAGUCAGAUGUGAAAGCCCAGGGCUCAACCUUGGGACUGCUUUUGAUACUGAGUAGCUAGAGUGCAGGAGAGGGAAGUGGAAUUCCGAGUGUAGCGGUGAAAUGCGUAGAGAUCAGGAGGAACACCAGUGGCGAAGGCGGCUCACUGGACUGUAACUGACGUUGAGGUUCGAAAGCGUGGGGAGCAAACAGGAUUAGAUACCCCGGUAGUC